rnacentral:rRNA from 1 species
GACGAACGCUGGCGGCGUGCUUAACACAUGCAAGUCGAACGGAAAGGCCCUGCUUUUGUGGGGUGCUCGAGUGGCGAACGGGUGAGUAACACGUGAGUAACCUGCCCUUGACUUUGGGAUAACUUCAGGAAACUGGUGCUAAUACCGGAUAGGAGCUCCUGCUGCAUGGUGGGGGUUGGAAAGUUUCGGCGGUUGGGGAUGGACUCGCGGCUUAUCAGCUUGUUGGUGGGGUAGUGGCUUACCAAGGCUUUGACGGGUAGCCGGCCUGAGAGGGUGACCGGCGACAUUGGGACUGAGAUACGGCCCAGACUCCUACGGGAGGCAGCAGUGGGGAAUAUUGCACAAUGGGCGGAAGCCUGAUGCAGCAACGCCGCGUGCGGGAUGACGGCCUUCGGGUUGUAAACCGCUUUCGCCUGUGACGAAGCGUGAGUGACGGUAAUGGGUAAAGAAGCACCGGCUAACUACGUG